rnacentral:rRNA from 1 species
ACGGUUGACCUCGGAUCAGGUAGGAAUACCCGCUGAACUUAAGCAUAUCAAUAAGGCGGAGGAA